GUGGGAGGGCAAACGAGACUCCAGCGUGGAGGCUCACGGUGGAAUUGCAAGCCACGACAGGAGAUGUCCAUUGGGUGCCGCUGUAGGAUCAACGAUGACGUGUGAUUCUCGUCGGAACGACGGGAGAAUCGCAUCUCAAAGAGACCCUGUUUGGAUGCCCUCCCACAGCCAAAACAGUUGGUGUCAGAAGUGGUAUCCUAGGAUUGACUGCCGAUCCAGGGGGACCAACGCACGAGUCCUGUCUCCACCCAAAGAAUUAGGACCCUGGGGCUGCCGGGGCUCUGGAUGUCGGCUAUCACCUCAGGAUCCAAAUGGACCUGUUGUCCUCCAAACAAAGAAUUACGGGACAGAAGCUUUCUGACCAAAACUACCUGUAAAGCAAGUUACAGAUAACGCUGUAUCACCUGUGGUCUCAUCUGUCCGAGUUGGCCAAGGGGAGGAUGUCAGGUUGUGGUCGCGAGCUGGGUUCCACACUGGCCUCCAAAAAUCGAUCACCCUAUGACAAAGAUCAAGAAGAAUGCAAUGUGGAAGAAGACCAACAACACAAGCGCCUCCUGCAACCGGCAGCACGGCCCUUUACACACAGCACUUCUGUGGUGCCCGCCUCUUCUCACACAGCCUGCUGCAGCCGCCUCUCUCCCACACCGCCUGGCCUUGCGGAAGGGACUCGACGACAACCUGAUGGACAGCAAAGCAUCGCUGGACCAGAUUUAAGGAGCUCGAGGCCAGAUACUGGACAAGGGAGGGGGAUGCACAGGGGGUGAAAGAUGCUUCCAUUGUGGAAAGAAGGGCCAUUGGAUAGACAUUGGAUCAGAGACUGUCCGAAGAAGAUAAAUAAAAGGACAAGACUUUUGCACUCAUGAUCGAUAGUGGAUAUUUCUUCACAAUAUUCAAAUUUUUUGAAUUCCUGAUUUCGUAGGUUUUAUGAGCUAGAAUCCCAAAUUAUGUACAAAUAAACAAUUAAACACUUGAAAUUAUUUAAAGUGUGAGCCCUGAAUCUAUAAUCUAUGAAAGUUUAACAUUUUGAAUGGAAUUAUGGAAAUAAAUAAACUUUUUCAUGAUAUUAAUUUUUUGGGGGAAAUGGUCUGUAAAUUAGGUCAAGUAUAUAUGAGGAUGCAUGUGCACCCUAUCCCUUUUUGAGAUUGUCUUCGCAGGCACCCCAUUGGACCGGAUCCAUUCGGGUCUACCGAAGCUGGG